AUGACUAUUGCAACUCAAGAGACAUGGAAGUAUGUAAUGAAAAGGAAUCCUUCUACAAUAAGAAAAGUGUCAUUUACAUUUUUUCCCCGAUUCUCUGAGGACAUCAGACUUGGAGUGACAAAGAGGCUUGGAGUGAACCAGAAUGAGAGCUUGACAGGAAGAGGAACAUGUGUCCUGUCUACCUAAAGAAACCCCAAACCCAAACGAAAGAAACAGAAAGUUUGUA
rnacentral:lncRNA from 1 species